rnacentral:lncRNA from 1 species
GUGGGCUAUAUUCAUAGCAAUGCUGCUGACCUUAUAAUUUGGCAUUCUUAACUGUUUCCUUGGCUUUGUCUCCUCCAGACUUUAAAGCUAUGCAGCUACCAAGAUGACAAUGCCAGGUGCCUAAAGAAGGCCUUUAACUAGACCCUCUGUAGAGUAACUAACUGCUGACCACAACUACGACCCUCUUCAGCUGGAAGUAGCCAGAGCUGUCUUUGCCUUUUGCCUACUCACAGCACUUAGGGGUACUUCUUCGGAGUGGAGAAUAUUGCAGAUAGUUGCUGCCAUGUUUACAUGCACCAUCUGGAAGAACUAAUGAGCCAAGGAACACCAGAAAUUAUAACUUGCUUUGACUAAAUAUAAAAGAUUUUUACUGGCAAUAAAAUAAUUUUGAUUUUUUUUUCUCCUGAAAUUACAAGAAGAUUAAAAUGUGAGUUUCUGUGAUUAUUGAUACGCAAAGCUAAUUUUAAUAGAAUGAACCUGAAGGCAUCUGGCAUUCCUAAUCAGUAAAGACUAAUUUAGUCAUUAUAGCACUGGCCUCAUGAUAUAAAGUCUCUUCUGACAUUGGAAUCCUUAAAA